GGCGACCUCUGCGUAGUAAUACAUCUUGUACCGGAACCGCGACGCGGCCACGCCGUAAAACAUCCGAGUGCUGAACGAUGACCUCGAGUCAG
rnacentral:rRNA from 1 species